AUACGGAGGAUCCGAGCGUUAUCCGGAUUUAUUGGGUUUAAAGGGUGCGCAGGCGGGAUGUUAAGUCGGCGGUGAAAUUUUGCAGCUCAACUGUAAAAGUGCCUUCGAUACUGGCUUUCUUGAGUGUGGAUGAAGUAGGCGGAAUUUGUGGUGUAGCGGUGAAAUGCUUAGAUAUCACGAGGAACUCCGAUUGCGCAGGCAGCUUACUAAACCACUACUGACGCUCAUGCACGAAGGCGUGGGGAUCAAACAGGAUUAGAUACCCUGGUAGUCCACGCAGUAAACGAUGAUUACUAGUUGUUUGCGAUACAAUGUAAGCGACUGAGCGAAAGCGUUAAGUAAUCCACCUGGGGAGUACGUUCGCAAGAAUGAAACUCAAAUGAAUUGACGGGG
rnacentral:rRNA from 1 species